CUGAAAUUCCCAUUGAAAUCAUCAUCCAAGUUCCAUAAACCGUCCCAAAGAAAUUCCUCGUUCGAUGUAUCGCUGCUCGAAACAUUGCCAUCGAUUAUCAUGGGAUAAACGAAGCCUUGUUCUUGAUCCGUCGUGCUGUUGUGGUUGAGGAUUUGUUGCUGUUGAAAUUGUUGCCUUUUAAGUAUUCGAGCUUUUGCCUUAAUGGAGUUAUCAGGCUUUUUCUUGAAAUGGGUCCUCCAGUAGUUCUUGAUCUCAUUAUCAGUUCUUCCAGGUAAGCUUCUUGCAAUUGUUGACCACCUGAUGAAUGUGUUUCGUUGAUUUGUUUCAAGUUCUUUAAUUACACGAAUCAAAACAGAAAAAAACCCAAAGUUUUUAUAGAAUCAGAUCAUUGAUUUACC